rnacentral:rRNA from 1 species
AGCAGCCGCGGUAAUUCCAGCUCCAAUAGCGUAUAUUAAAGUUGUUGCAGUUAAAAAGCUCGUAGUUGAACUUCGGGGUACAUCCAUUGGUCGGGCUUAAUUGUCUGUACUGGUGAGAUGAAUCUCUACCUUCUGAGGAACUUUCAUGCCAUUUAUUUGGUGUGAUGGGAAAUCAGGACUGUUACUUUGAAAAAAUUAGAGUGUUUAAAGCAGGCUCACGUCUGAAUACAUUAGCAUGGAAUAAUGAAAUAGGACGGAUUGAUUCUAUUUCGUUGGUUUCUAGGAUCACCGUAAUGAUUAAUAGGGAUAGUUGGGUACCACCACCUAUUUUGUCGGUUUCUAGGAUCGAUGUA